CACACCGCCCGUCACACCAUGGGAGUGGGCUGCACCAGAAGUAGGUUGCUUAACCUUAGGGAGAGCGCUUACCACGGUGUGGUUCAUGACUGGGGUG
rnacentral:rRNA from 1 species